rnacentral:pre_miRNA from 1 species
UGUGUACUCCCUCCGUUCCAAAAUACUUGACUUCCAUUUGUCGAAAAAUGGAUGUACCUAUAUACUAAAACAUGUCUAGAUACAUAUAUAUUUUGACAAAUAGAAGGCAUGUAUUGUGCAACAGAGGGAGUAGAAU